CAUAUUCAUUUCUACUGAUUUCACUCAUACUGUGCAUGAGCCAGGGCUUCUUUUUGAGAAAGAUUUAAUUUUUCCCUUAUACACGACAAUGGAGACAGGGACCUUUUUAAACCAAUGAACUCUGGAACAGGUUUUCACAGAAAAUGUGCGUCGUUGUCAUAUAAACAAACACUAGAAUUGCAACCAAUCUUUUCUGUUUUCACUAGAAAACGUCAUGUAAAUAGGUUCUUAGAUAAGAACGGAGCUAUCAAAAACGUUUUGAAAAUAUUUCAGCUUUUUACUCUGUUCACCAAUGCUCUGUUUUUUGAAGAAAGAUUUAGGUUUCAGCAGCUGGCUCUUCAAUCAAUUCACUCAAACAGAGAACUACAUUCAUAAGACCCCAUACAGCUCUAAUUUCUAUCAUUGUAAAUUAUAUUUCACAGAAACUUUAAGACAAUAUACAAAAACUAAAAUAGAGAACCUCACAGAUCAUCUAUGCUGAAUUCCACCAGAGCUCUCACAACUAUGCUUAUUGAAACCUUUUGGUUCUUUGAUUAGUUGGAAAAUAUAAGUAAUCAAGGGCAGAAAUACAUUUUUUUAUUGGAUCUACAUGAUGCGUUAAAAACAAAUCCACUCCAUGAUGUCAACUUGUUGUAUCGUGUAAUAUGAUUCAGGUUUGUGUUCUCUUAUUAUUCUCAUUUACCUGUCAGUGUAGAAUACUUGUGCUGUGCUAAUUUCUCUCUGUGUUGGAAUGGGUGUCAAUAGAUGCUCCACUUCACUCAGGUGCCAUUUUCUCUCAAGCAGCCGGCGGUUGACACAGAGGAGCUUGACGCUGGGUCGCUACUCUGCCUCUUUGCUCUUCAGGACGUAGACGUCCUCUGAGUGGAAGUCGACAGGAGGAAUGUUUGCGAGGGCUGCAGAUUUUAAGGCAAUGGCAGGAGAUGGGCCACUGCUUCGACACUAGUUUAAUUAAACCCUCCGAGACUGCUAGCUGCAUGGGAAUAAGGGCCAAAUGAGUUGCUGGGUCAUGUGCAUGAGUUCUGCCACAUGAAUAAUACAAACCACUGCAGGCAGGCUCAUUCAAAAUAAUGUGAGAAUACUGCUCUUUCUAAGGCACUGCACAUGUGACAGGGAAAUUUAGAGUGUUUCGUCUUUGGCACCAUUCAGUUACUGUUCCCUAGAGAGCAGCUGGAAAACAUUCAUACUUACAAUAAGAAAGGGCAGAUGACUCUGAAAUGUCAAAGAUUUUAUAUAAAUUGUUUGCAGGUGACAAUAUGCUUAUUUCUAUUAUGGUCCUUCUGUGUACAGGUAGUGGAAAACAGCUCGCCAGAAAGUUGCCUCAACAUCCCACAGCUGGUCGGACUGGAAGAUGGCAUGGUGUUAGUCAACACAUUUGACUGGCAGACUGGCAGACUUCCGAAUGCUCUGACAGAUCAAGAGUUAUCAGCACUUCAGCUUUGAUGCCAAAAGACCUGGUGUGGUCCUAGCUAGGACUCACAGCGACGCAGAGCCUGUUAGCUUUCAGCUCCUGUGUAACCCGGGAGUUCUACACCCUGUUGUCUGUGUUCCUGUCCUGUCUGCACCUGGACUGGCCACGGACAGGCAGACUUAUCUUUAUUCAAAGAUCAGGCCUUUCUGUUCCGAUGAAGCGAAGGACAUUACAUGCCCAGCAUCACAAAGCACAACACAGACUAGCACACAGAAGAGAAUGAUGGUGUGGCACUGUGACAUUGGCGUUUUGGCAAUUUGUAAUGUGUAUAAAGUUGUAAAUAAAAAUCACAUUUGUGACAUGUUCAAAGUCAAGUUAUUGCCAAUUUCUCUUCCUGGGUCCAUUAAAGUCAAGAGGUUUGCAGACAUAAAAUUUGAUGGGUACAGAUUAAGUAGCUCCAGCACCAGCCUCUUCUAGAUUAACACGUAUUCAAAAGGUGUAAGCUAUUAACGGAGGAGGAUCAGUGAUGCUGUGGGCCUGUUUCACUUCCAAAGGAAACAUUGUCAUAAUGCAUGGCACCAAACACCAGGACAUCUUAAAUACAAAUCUGGUGGCCACAUCCAGAAACAAUGAAUAUGGGUCAUUUCGAGGUAUUUCAGUACGAUAAUUAUCCAAAACAUAUUGUCAAAGUAACACAAAAAAAACAGUUAAUGUUUUAUUUGAGCAUUUAUUCCGAGAGUCCAUAAAAAUGAACAUUUAUCUUGCAUUUGUCAGGAUUUAUCAAAUAAGGAAACCUUUCAUGAGAAAAGUUUUACAAAUACAAUAAUUUCACAAACACAAUUAUCCCCUAAAGCAGUAUUUAAAAGUGGUAAAAGUGUCCUUUCAUGCUGUGGAAAAACGUAAUUCAGAGUUCAUACAGGACUGAGCUCAACAUGAUAAUCAUUUUCUAAUACUCGCCAAAGCUUUGAGCCUUUGUAACCACUCACAUUUCCCAGUCUUCUGUCUUCGUCUUUGUCUCUUAUUAAAGAUGAAUCCAUUAAAUGGUUUGACCUUCACUGACUCUCACAUGCUGUGCAGUGUCAGAAACUUUCUGCUAAUUUCAAACAAAGUUGCUCCUAUGACUCUUCCUCUACCUGAACCUUUUUAAAUUCAUACAAAGCAAAAAGCAGAAACCAAGAAACCUCACCAAGAAGAGAUUUGUUUUGAUUUUAAGUGUUAGCUGUACAUCUUCAAGGCUUAUUCCAUAAACACUGAUAUCGGCCAAUAGGACAAUUGCCCAGGGCACCAUUGAAAAGGGAAGCACACAAGCAUCAGUUAAAACAAACUAUCUGUCAGUUGCACCUUCAACAAGUUUUCUAUUGCUUUUAUGCAUUCAGCGGAGAGUUGGUGUCCCCUGCUUGCUGCUGAGAAAUG